AAAUCGGGCAUUAUUUGGCCGAGAUAUUCAAAAAAAAGGUCGAGUCAGCUGUUACAUACGAUCCUAAUACACCGAAUACCUUGGAAAUCUGCAGCUGUGCCAUUUCAGGGCCGAUCUUGAUGUCCUUUGACCAACAGCUAGUCGUCAUCUCCACAACUCAGAAUAUACAAACAAAGGCGAACGUUUUUAAGCAGCUGGGAAAAGUAUAUAUUUGUUUAUAAACAAACUAUUUGUAUUAACCGAAGCUAUCAAGUGGGCAAAGAUUAUCACUAUUGUCCUUGUGGUUUUCGAGAUUAAAGAAUUCAAGGACUCUAAUCGAUUAUAAAGAUUUCCGCAAAUUCAAAGACGUUCUUUUUGCCAGGAUCGAACUAAAAUGUUUGUAAAUGUUUUUGGUACCUAGUGGACACAUAUAUCCUUGGCUAUUCAGUACCAGGGAUAUAGUCCUAGUGAACCUAAAGGACCUUAUUCUAGCGAAAUUGGCAAGAAUAUGGUCAAAAAAUAUGUAUGCUUUCUCUUUCAGCAAACCUUGUACAUGCAGCUGUUACUUAACAGCCGUCUUUACAGCACUCAUUUUACAUGAGUUACUGCUUAACAUUACUCAUUUUAAAUGAGUAACAUUUUUGCCCCUUACGCGUAUGCAACAAAAUGUUUUACUCGUAGAUUUCGUCGACCUUCUGGGUAUUUCUGUUCGCCUGGUAUUUUAGAAGAAUUUAAGAAAAAUCUUGGCAGCCAGCGGCCGCAAGCAGACAGAUUUUAAAUGACCGUUGAUUUUUGAAUUUGUUGCAAUCCCUUAUCCCUUGGAAGUAAAAAGACGGGAAUUUGUU